rnacentral:rRNA from 1 species
CCAGACUCCUACGGGAGGCAGCAGUGGGGGAUAUUGCACAAUGGGGGAAACCCUGAUGCAGCGACGCCGCGUGGGUGAAGAAGCGCCUCGGUGCGUAAAGCCCUGUCAGCAGGGAAGAAAAUGACGGUACCUGAAGAAGAAGCCCCGGCUAACUACGUGCCAGCAGCCGCGGUAAUACGUAGGUGGCAAGCGUUAUCCGGAUUUACUGGGUGUAAAGGGGGCGCAGACGGCGAUGCAAGCCAGGAGUGAAAGCCCGGGGCCCAACCCCGGGACUGCUCUUGGAACUGCGUGGCUGGAGUGCAGGAGGGGCAGGCGGAAUUCCUGGUGUAGCGGUGAAAUGCGUAGAUAUCAGGAGGAACACCGGUGGCGAAGGCGGCCUGCUGGACUGCAACUGACGUUGAGGCCCGAAAGCGUGGGGAGCAAACAGGAUUAGAUACCCCGGUA